GCCUGACUGGCUCAGUUCGUAGAGCAUGUGACUCUUGAUCUUAGGGUCAUGAGUUCAUGCCCCAUUUUGGGCA
rnacentral:tRNA from 1 species